GCUUUCCCUCCAGAGUGGAUCCUGAGUACGGCGGAACACGUGAAAUUCCGUCGGAAUCCGGGAGGACCAUCUCCCAAGGCUAAAUACUCCCUAGUGACCGAUAGUGAACCAGUACCGUGAGGGAAAGGUGAAAAGCACCCCGGAAGGGGAGUGAAACAGUUCCUGAAACCGUGUGCCUACAAGUAGUUAGAGCCCGUUAAUGGGUGAUAGCGUGCCUUUUGUAGAAUGAACCGGCGAGUUACGAUUUGUUGCAAGGUUAAGCGGAAAAAGCGGAGCCGUAGCGAAAGCGAGUCUGAAUAGGGCGCAUAAGUAACAGGUCGUAGACCCGAAACCAGGUGAUCUACCCAUGUCCAGGAUGAAGGUAAGGUAAUACUUACUGGAGGUCCGAACCCACGCACGUUGAAAAGUGCGGGGAUGAGGUGUGGGUAGCGGAGAAAUUCCAAUCGAACUUGGAGAUAGCUGGUUCUCUCCGAAAUAGCUUUAGGGCUAGCCUCGAGGUAAAGAGUCAUGGAGGUAGAGCACUGUUUGGACUAGGGGCCCUUCUCGGGUUACCGAAUUCAGAUAAACUCCGAAUGCCAUGUACUUAUACUCGGGAGUCAGACUGCGAGUGAUAAGAUCCGUAGUCGAAAGGGAAACAGCCCAGACCACCAGUUAAGGUCCCCAAAUAUAUGUUAAGUGGAAAAGGAUGUGGGGUUGCUUAGACAACCAGGAUGUUGGCUUAGAAGCAGCCACCAUUGAAAGAGUGCGUAAUAGCUCACUGGUCGAGUGACCCCGCGCCGAAAAUGUACCGGGGCUAAACAUAUUACCGAAACUGUGGAUGAACCUCUUUAGAGGUUCGUGGUAGGAGAGCGUUCUAAGGGCGGUGAAGUCAGACCGGAAGGACUGGUGGAGCGCUUAGAAGUGAGAAUGCCGGUAUGAGUAGCGAAAGAAGGGUGAGAAUCCCUUCCACCGAAUAUCUAAGGUUUCCUGAGGAAGGCUCGUCCGCUCAGGGUUAGUCGGGACCUAAGCCGAGGCCGAUAGGCGUAGGCGAUGGACAACAGGUAGAGAUUCCUGUACCAGUGCUAAUUGUUUAACCGAUGGGGUGACACAGAAGGAUAGGGAAUCGCACGAAUGGAAAUGUGCGUCCAAGCAGUGAGUGUGAGAAGUAGGCAAAUCCGCUUCUCGCGAAGCAUGAGCUGUGAUGGGGAAGGAAAUUAAG
rnacentral:rRNA from 1 species